AAAAUUUACCAUCCAUGCUGGUGACCUAUUCUAUGGAGCCUUACCCGAAAGAAGGGCCAUACGGUCCAAAGAAGAGGCCUGGAACCUCUUCAAGGAGUUUCAUGCAUCCCCCAUGGGAGGACACACUGGCAUUGUCAAAACACGCAUUGCCAUGUGUUCCCGAUUCUAUUGGCCUGGUAUGACAGCAGACAUUGAGAAAUGGGUGUCUCAAUGUGACCGGUGCCAAAGAGUUGGACCUCCCCUCCAAGUUGUCAGAGAACUUCAGUGCAUAAAGGUAACCAUCCACAGCAAUUCAUGAAGUUUACCACCUCUAGGACAUUGUUGCUGAUAACAUUGUUG